GACGAACGCUGGCGGCGCGCCUAACACAUGCAAGUCGAACGGUUAGGGCCCGUUCUGGUGGGGAGCUCGAGUGGCGAAGGUGUGUGACACAUGUGCGUACUCCGCCUUUCAUUGUGGUAUACACUGAGGAAAGUGGGGAUUAUACAGGACUUGAGCACUUCCUGCUUGGAGGGGGUUGGAAGGUUUCGGCGGAUGGGGAUGGCCGCGCGGCUUGUCAGCUUGUUGGUGGGGUAGUGGCUUACCAAGGCAAUGAUGGGUAGCCGGUCUGAGAGGGUGACCGGCCACAUUGGGACUGAGAUACGGCCCAGACUCCUACGGGAGGCAGCAGUGGGGAAUCUUGCACAAUGGGCGGAAGCCUGAUGCAGCGACGCCGCGUGCGGGAUGACGGCCUUCGGGUUGUAAACCGCUUUCAGCAGGGACGAAGCGAAAGUGACGGUAAUUGGAGAAGAAGCACCGGCUAACUACGUG
rnacentral:rRNA from 1 species